rnacentral:rRNA from 1 species
AUUGAACGCUGGCGGCAUGCCUUACACAUGCAAGUCGAACGGCAGCACGGGUGCUUGCACCUGGUGGCGAGUGGCGAACGGGUGAGUAAUACAUCGGAACAUGUCCUGUAGUGGGGGAUAGCCCGGCGAAAGCCGGAUUAAUACCGCAUACGAUCCACGGAUGAAAGCGGGGGCCCUUCGGGCCUCGCGCUAUAGGGUUGGCCGAUGGCUGAUUAGCUAGUUGGUGGGGUAAAGGCCUACCAAGGCGACGAUCAGUAGCUGGUCUGAGAGGGCGACCAGCCACACUGGGACUGAGACACGGCCCAGACUCCUACGGGAGGCAGCAGUGGGGAAUUUUGGACAAUGGGCGAGAGCCUGAUCCAGCAAUGCCGCGUGUGUGAAGAAGGCCUUCGGGUUGUAAAGCACUUUUGUCCGGAAAGAAAUCCUUGACUCUAAUACAGUCGGGGGAUGACGGUACCGGAAGAAUAAGCACCGGCUAACUACGUG